GCACCAGUGGUCUAGUGGUAGAAUAGUACCCUACCACGGUAUAGACCCUAGGUUCGAUUCCCGGCUAGUGCA
rnacentral:tRNA from 1 species